AUUGAACGCUGGCGGCAGGCCUAACACAUGCAAGUCGAGCGGAUGAAGGGAGCUUGCUCCUGGAUUCAGCGGCGGACGGGUGAGUAAUGCCUAGGAAUCUGCCUGGUAGUGGGGGAUAACGUCCGGAAACGGGCGCUAAUACCGCAUACGUCCUGAGGGAGAAAGUGGGGGAUCUUCGGACCUCACGCUAUCAGAUGAGCCUAGGUCGGAUUAGCUAGUUGGUGGGGUAAAGGCCUACCAAGGCGACGAUCCGUAACUGGUCUGAGAGGAUGAUCAGUCACACUGGAACUGAGACACGGUCCAGACUCCUACGGGAGGCAGCAGUGGGGAAUAUUAGACAAUGGGCGAAAGCCUGAUCCAGCCAUGCCGCGUGUUUGAAGAAGGUCUUCGGAUUGUAAAGCACUUUAAGUUGGGAGGAAGGGCAGUAAGUUAAUACCUUGCUGUUUUGACGUUACCAACAGAAUAAGCACCGGCUAACUUCGUG
rnacentral:rRNA from 1 species